CAGUGAAAACAAUGGCCAAAACCCAUAUCCUUCUCUCUGAACAAGAAAAUCUUUUGUCAAUGGCAUCCUCCUCCGCUUCCAAUUCUCAUAUACCGCUAGAGCUAACCCUCAAUAUACUACACCAUUUACCAGUCAAGUCUCUUGUCCGCUUCCUCUGCAUUUCUAAGCAAUGGCGCCAUUUAAUCAGCAGCCAAGAUUUCAUCAAGAAGCAUCUCAAGCUCUCCAUCGAGUCCAACAGAGACUGUGGCAUCAUCCUCCGGCACUUCGAUGACUCUGAUUUCUUACGCUUCCUCUUCGCUCCUUUAUUCGACAACAACCAGUUCGGAAACGCCGUUGAAAUUCACUCGGCCCUACAGCUCCACAUCUUGCACCAUUGCGACGGCUUGGUUUGCCUCUCUGACGAGAAAGACGAGGUCGCAAUAUGGAACCCGUUGAUCAGAAAGUAUAGGAAAUUGCCUCGAGAACUGGUUGAGAAGCCUUCUGGUUUCGAGCAUUGCACCAGGGCAUUCGCUUUCGGCUAUGAUCCGCAGAACGAUGACUAUAAGGUGUUGAGGGUCGUAGAAUUUUACAAUGCUAAGAGGCAUUUAACAGAGUUUGAAGUCAAGGCAUAUAGUCUUAAAGCGCAGUCUUGGAAAAAGGUUGAAGAACAAUGGCCUGACAAGAAACUCUCGUUAAAUCCGGGUUCCGCGUCUCUGAAUGGAGCUGUGCAUUGGUUAGUUGAUGCUCCUCAAUCUAAAAUCGAAUCGCUUAUUGCUUUCGACCUUGCCACUGAGAAGUUUCGGUUCUAUAAGGCGCCGGAUCAACCAGACGACGAAGAACGUGUGUUCCCUGCUUUGGAAGUGUUGGGAAGAUACCUCUGUUAUUCUGUUCUUGUGAACCAUAACGACACUACUUAUCACGAAGUUUGGCUGAUGAAAGAAUAUGGGGUAGAGAGUUCUUGGACACAGAUUUAUAGAAUUGGGCAAGGUGAAGUGCCUGGGAUUUUUGCGUAUAGGCCGCUAAUGUUUUCCAAGAAUGGCAAGGAGGUCUUGUUGGAGGAGGCACGAGAGCACUAUAUGAAUCUUGUUUGGUAUGACAUGGAAAACAAAACAGGCCAGAGGGUAGAGAAUCGGAGUUUUCCUUGUGGGUUUACAGCGUCAAUUUGUACCGGCAGCCUUCUUUUGCUUGAUGGUGAUAAUGUGAUUGAUCCGAGAGGGUCUUAAUCUGUUGGUGGAAGCAUUGUAUGAAUUAAUGUUUGAGCUUUGAAGGAUAAACAGGGAUUGUAAGACAUUGCUGCUGUCAGUUGUGGUGUGUGCAGCAGAUGUAUGGCUUUGAUGUGGCUCAUUGAUAGCUCAAGAUUUUAAAAAUGAAUUGAUAAUCAUCUUGUUAUAGCAUCUUGAUUAUCCGUGCAGGGCUGGAGCAAAAAAUUGAGUACGACUCUCUGUUAAUGUACCUGACAUCUGAAAUUUCU